CAUAAAUAACUUACAAGAAGCAAGCACAGUUGGAGAGGAACUGGCAGCGCUAAUCUAGCAUCACGCACACCCACAGAUGGCACGCAGGCCCGGGACGGGGGCAGGCACCAGAAGACACGAGUGUUCAUCAUGAGCACCUGCCCCACGGACCCACACCCCGUCCAAGGGUCACUUGCAGAGGAACAUCGACCCUCCACCUCACCUCAGACUCCUCCUCGAUCUUCAUGCCUUCGAUCUGCAGAAGGUCCAACAAGGUCCCUGGCUGGAAUGCUGAGGAGAACUUCUCUGGAAGGGAGGGCAGGAAAGAUUGGCAUCUCAACGCUGCCUGCCCCGUGCCGGAGGCAGAGACCUCGGGAGAGGCGCUCAGGACACCCUCUGCACAUACAGAGCCCAGCUGCCACCUGGAGUCUACGCAGAAUCCCUUGGGGUAAGUCUGUCAGUUCCCUCUGACAAUCCCACUCCUGAGUAGAGAGGGGCAGGAGAGCCCACUCGAGGGCUCAGCCAAGCAGCUCCCCGAUACCAGCCCCAGAAGGGAAGGGACUGGAUCCUGAUGUGCUUCGCCCCACAGGGGAAAGCUCGCCAACCUGUCCGCACUGCUGGCCAGCCAUGCAGGCCCCUGGACUCCAAUCCCAACACCACCACCUUCUAGCUCUGUAACCUCAGGCGGGUGCCUGGACCUCUCGGAGCCUCAUCUUCCUCACCUAGACAAGGUGAAUAACAACAGGACCCCUACUCGUACACUCCUCUGUGUAUGGAGCGCGCUCAGCUCAGGGCCUCCCUGGCUGCUGGCCCUUUCCUGUCCUCCAGCUGUCCUCCCCAGUCCAACCUUGAAUGGAGUCCCUGCAUUCACAGGGGAGCCACCAGAGCACUCUCCAGGGCCAGCUGUCCCUACCCAGCUUUGCCUUCUGUUCCUGGCACCGUUCCACAAGCCUCCGCAGCUCCUGGUAUUUGUCUGAGAGGUUUGAGCGGCUGAUCUCUAGGGGUCCCUGGAAUUCCAGGUUCCGCUCAGCCAGGCUCCGGUUGGUGGCUAGUGCCAUCUCUCUCUCCAACUGCAGGUCCUGGACCUAGAAAAGUAGGAAAACGAACAGUAAGAACAACUGUCCCUGGGCUAAGGGCUUCUGGGUUCACUACUCAUCUUGGGGACACUGGGUGAUGCUCGGCCUUUAAGCACAGGCAGAGGAGCAUGGGUUCAGACCCUGCACUAGGCACCCUGGCCUGGGUGCCUCACUGUAUCCACGACAUGGCAGCCUGGUGGGGGACACACAGGAGAAACUGGCAUUAAGGUUAACAGCCUGCCAAGGCCACCAUGACUGCAGAACUCCAGGGAGGGAGGGAAGCGAUCUGUAGGAGAAGCCAGAGGCUUCACACGAGGGACAGGAUCAAAGUCCCAACCACUUAACCCCACACUUGAGUCAAGUGGACUAAGGAGGACUAAGAUGGCCCAACAGAACACAAGCUGGACACUCCAUGAUGCCCGGAAGUCAGGCUAUUCUGAGGGGACCGGGGAGCUAGGAUCCUGGAGUCCCCUGCUGAAAACACUUCCCCAAGCCAGGCAGCACUGUGCCCCUCAGCCGGGUGGUGCAGCUGCCAGAACCCUGCCCAGCCACCCUGUGCACGAAGCCCUACCCAUCUGUUGAGGAGGUUUGGAGAGUCAGGCCCACCACCCCAAGAGGGUGGGGACCACGUACCACAGCACCUCGUGGCACCACCAGAGGGGACCACCACAGGGGUCAGGGCACAGCUCAGCAAGACCAGCUUCCUCAGGGAAGACGAGUUCCCUGAGCCAUUCAGCUUCGCCACCAGCACCAGCACUGGGGACCUAGACCAGACUGGCCCAUGCUCCACCAGCAACAGCAGCCCACGGGAAUCCAGGGAGUCCCGAGGAGGGCGCUGGGGGAGGUCUUCCCACCUGCUGAUCCCCUGCCACAGGGCCUCAGGCCCACACUAUGAGGCAGGCCACUAGAGAAAGAAAAGCCACAGCUUCCCCCUCCAUAAGGAGGCUUCCAUGACUCGGGGACAGCAGCACCCAGCGUAUGCCCAGCCCAGAGCCCAAACGCUCGGCCCCUUCGCCUGGGUUUGCUGCCACACACACCCUUUUCAGCGACCGGAUGGGCACCCUGACCUGUAGACCCUGGUGAGUUUCACUCUAUCUGUCAGCCGCGGAAAUCAUUUUCACUCAUGUGGCUGAGUCAGAGGGCAUGGCCUCCUGUCCAGGCACCCGACGGGCCGGGGCCUUCGGGCAUGCCCGCACCUCUACCGCACGCCCCAUCUUAACUUAUAAAGCCUGACUGCAUCAUUUUCCUCUAAAAUGUGUCCUAUUUCUGCUCCCUCUCCCCACAAUCACCUCAAUUUUUUCUCCUUUAGGGGGCCACCAUGAAGCCUUCUCCUAUUCCUUUGUACACCGUCAACACGCGUCCUAUACCCUGCUCCAGGCAGAUCACUCGGCCUGCGCUGGUCCCUCAGUUCACUCUCUUCUAUGCAGAAAAAUAGCUCCUACCAACUCCCUUUUCAAGCCACGAUCACAUCCCAAACCACAUGGGCUCCUCUCUCUUCUCACAAUUCCAGUUAUUCAAUUAAUAUCUUUGCCAUGGACCAUGGCAAAAGAGCUACUCAAAGGUUCUUGGGAAGUCUGAGUAGCCUGCCCUGUUUUGUUUCUGCCCAGUCCACACGGAAUAAUUUUCUUCCCUCAGAGCCUUCAAAUUGAUUGGUCAGACACAGCUACAUGCCACAAGAUUCCAGUGCCUUUUGCCCAAGAGGUUGUUUCAUCAAGGGUGUUUCAUAGAGGCUGCAUCACAGAUCCUACCAGCCUGCUCAGCUUGGAAGUCAACUAAAGAUAAUUAUGUAAAGGUUUGCUUCUGCCAAGCUCCAUGCACCACUGGAACUGGAGUCCCCAUAACACUGUGCUCAUUACAGACCCAUGAAGUACUUGGUGCUUAACACACACGGAGCAUCCCUAAUCCAAAACAUCCAAAUCUGAAAUGCUAAGAAAUCCAAAGCUUUUUGAGUGUCUACAGACACUUAAAAAGUUUUGAAUUUCAGAUGAUCUCAGAUUCGGGGAUUUUGGAGUAAAGUCUACAUAAAUAUUCCAAAAUCCAAAAAACUCCAAACUCUGAAAUACUUCUGGUCCCAAGCACUUUGAGUAAAAGAUAGUCAACCCAUGUGUGAGAAAUGAGUAGAAGAGAAAGGAACGAAGACCUGAGCCAGCUCAGCACCUGUGCCAGGUAAAACAGGUGCGGGCAGAGCUCACAGCCCAGUUAACCAUAGAACUGGCCAUAAGCUUAAUUAACCAAGACAGCCUCUGCUUCCCAUCCUGGAUGAAUAAGUUCACCCUGCCUCAGGACAGCAGGACACACCAUGCGGAGUCUCAGGACCUCUCCUGGCGCUCUGCCCACCAGGAGAGCUUCCAACCUAAUCCCCAGCCUCCUUUGUCCCCCAGGUGGAGGAGCAGGGGUGGACAGAGAACACAGUGAGGGAAGAAGCAGGGAACACAUCGAACUGGGCAUCCCGAGAGCAAGGGAAGUACUCUGGGGAGGGACGAGCAGGGAGUGCGGGACAGGGCAGCUUCCUUUCUGAUGUUUUUUAAUACACUGUGAAUCCACAGAAGACAGUUCACCAAUUCAUCAGUGAAUAUAAGAAUAUAAUCCAAAUG